rnacentral:rRNA from 1 species
UGGGGAAUUUUGGACAAUGGGGGCAACCCUGAUCCAGCAAUGCCGCGUGUGUGAAGAAGGCCUUCGGGUUGUAAAGCACUUUUGUCCGGAAAGAAAACGUCGUGGUUAAUACCCGUGGCGGCUGACGGUACCGGAAGAAUAAGCACCGGCUAACUACGUGCCAGCAGCCGCGGUAAUACGUAGGGUGCAAGCGUUAAUCGGAAUUACUGGGCGUAAAGCGUGCGCAGGCGGUCCGCUAAGACAGAUGUGAAAUCCCCGGGCUUAACCUGGGAACUGCAUUUGUGACUGGCGGGCUAGAGUAUGGCAGAGGGGGGUAGAAUUCCACGUGUAGCAGUGAAAUGCGUAGAGAUGUGGAGGAAUACCGAUGACGAAGGCAGCCCCCUGGGCCAAUACUGACGCUCAUGCACGAAAGCGUGGGGAGCAAACAGGAUUAGAUACCCUGGUAGUCCACGCCCUAAACGAUGUCAACUAGUUGUCGGGUCUUCAUUGACUUGGUAACGUAGCUAACGCGUGAAGUUGACCGCCUGGGGAGUACGGUCGCAAGAUUAAAAACU